UAUAAAUUAUCAUUGAUUAAAAACCACAAUUACUAAAGUUACUGAUUACAAUUACUAGUUGCUUAUGCCUAACAAUUGUUCAAUUUUCAUUACGAUAUCAAAAAAGAUGUAGGAAAUGUUGAACGAAAUCUAUUGAUUCGAUUUUUUUUUAAAUUAAUUUUAUUAUUCUUACAAGUAGAUAUAAAUAUAAUAUGGACGAGGAAAUGUCUUACGGGGAAGUGGUUACGAGGAAAUGGUAGACGGGGGAAUGACCCGAUACGAUCUAUAUAGGCUAUUUGGGCAAUCAAAACGUUUAAUUACCUACUGUCUUAACGGUUAUGUUUACCUCGCGAUAAAUCAAAUUUUAAAUCGCUCGUAUAUAGUUUUUUAUGAACCGGUUUUCACAGUCAAAUAUCGCGUAUAAUUUACCCGAAAGUUAUUUAACCGUAUAUGUGACGUCUUACAGGGUUCAAAGCACUGUUUAUAACAAUACUAUCUAUACUGGCUGGAUAUACGACGCGAUCCGUCUGAUCAUAUUACCGUCUUACAUUUCUAUAUAGAUAUACCACGCCACUGAACUCGGUGUUGUACGAUCAAUAAAUAAUUGUAGUUCUACGACUUGUAAACUCG